AUAAUAAGUGUUUGUUGAAAAGAUCAUAAAUUCCUUGACCUUCUCCAGGCUCUGGGGCUCCUGGGGAGCUGCGAUUCUGAAGCUCCCAGUUCAGGUCCUGUGCCAUCUGGCUCUGGUCUAAUGAAGGUUCAGUGACCCCUGGCUUCUGGGUACUAAACCUCUGUGUUUAUACUUCUCCCCUCUGUGAAAGCUCGAACUAUCUACUGAGCCGCCAGGUCACUCACCUUAAAUGUUAGCGGCGCGUGGAAAGCAGGCAGGCAGGGACACGUAGGGAACAACACAGAGAGGCCUUGCAUUGGUUCCCUGUGGCUUCUGUGACCAAUGACCACAAACGUAGUGCCUUAAAGUAACACAGAUGUCCUCUGUCAUGGUGCUGGACAGAAGAGUGUGAAAUGGGCUUCACUGGGCUGAAAUCAAGGUGUCAGCAGGGCUGUGUUCUUUCUAGCACCUCUGGCAGAACAUCUGUUUCCUUGCCUUUUCCAGCUUCUAGGGGCUUAUGGCCCCAUCACCCGUCUUCAAAGCCAGCUGUCCGGCAUCUUCAAAUCUAUAUAGCAUCGCUCUGACACCGUGCUUCAUCACUGCAUCCCUGACUCUUUUAAGGACCCCUGUAAUUACACUGGACUCACUGAGAUGAUCCAGAAUAAUCUCCCCAUCGAAGUUUUUGCCAUUCAUAGGCUCCGGGGAUUAGGAUGUGGGUGUCUUUGGGGGACCGUUAUUCUGUCUCCCACAGGCCUCUUGGAAAGGCAGUUGCCUGAAGUCUUGUAGAAAGACCCAGAGGACAGAGGGCUUUAAAUCAUAGAGCCCAUCAUGGACUGAGAUGGGACUCAAAUGCUAGUCUAGGAUCCCUGGUCUUUCCAUGGUGCUUGAAUCUGAGGCUGAACUUUAGAGGGUGGGUGGGGAUCCUUGUAGUGCAAAUCAUAGCCUUCCUAGAGAGGAAGCAAUGAGACAGCCCAGACGGCUUUAGAAGGAGUGACUAAAAAAUUAUAGACACUGUAUAUUGGGCUUUACUUUGUAUAAAGAUUACGGUGAGUGGUUAAAGGCCUUACUUCACAAAAUCAUUUGCAAAACACUAUGCAGUAGGGACAAUUAUGCGGUCCAUUCUACAGCUAAGAAGACCAAGGCUAAGGGAGGUUAAAUAAUUUGCUCAAAAAAGCAAUGAAGCCACAUGCAAUAUGAGGUCGGUCUGACUUCAGAACUCAGGUUCUCAGUGACUGGUACAAAGGAAGGCCACAUGAAACCCUUUCCUGUAGGGAGAAAAUUUUGCUUUUCCUCCUAAUUUACCUGCAAGGCUUGAGUUGAUUCAGCAUCAUUCAGAGGAUAGAACAGAGAUUUAAGGAGAAGGUCCAGGCACAGGGAGGUGAAUAACUUGUCUAAAGUCACACAGUCAGGUAGAGGCAGGGCCAAGAAUAGAAGCCUGAAGCCUCUGUGGAGACCUCUGUGUCAGGGGUUAUUUCUAGUAUGAAAGGGACACUAGGAGAACUGGCUUCUCCAUCGCUCAACCUUCUCUGGAGGCUCGAGAAGGACACACAGAAAGGGGUCACCUGGAUUGAAGGUGGUGGGAUAAAGUCCACCACCAUCACCACAGCCAGCAAAGCCCUCCAUGACGGCCUGCCUCCCGCCUGCCAAGCACAUCUCUGGCUUCCCUCCCCUGGCUUGCCCUGCUCCACCACCCUGGCCUUCUUUCAGUUAUGCCAGUGCCUCCAAAUUCCUUCCAACCUCAGGGCCUGUGCACUUGUUACCUCUCUGCCUAGAACACACUACCCUGGCCUCUUACCUGGCUGACAUCCUCUUGUCAUUCAAACCAGUCACUUCCAAUAUCACCUCCUUGGAGGCCCUCCCUGGCCACCCGAUUGUCACAACACUUACCCACCUGUAUCCAUCACUCUAUGUAACUGUUCUUUUUUGCUUAACUGCACUUAUUACUAUUAGGUUUUCCUAUUCAUUUUCUGGGUUUUUUCUUUUUCUUUUUUUUUUUUUUUUUUUUUUUUUUGUCUUUUUGUUUUAUUAAGGCUGGCAGCUCCAGCUCCAGUUCAACCCCUAGCCUGGGACCCUCACAGGUGUGGCCCUAAAAAGCAAAGUAACUAACUAACUAACGAAAUAAAUAAAUAAGAAAUCAUGUCAUCAGUCGCAUUAACAAAUGGUGUCUUCCAUUCGUCCAGGCACCAGACCUGGAACAGGGGUACAGCAGUGCACAGAGAUGAUACAUUUUCCCAUCAUUCAUUCAAUGAUUAUUUACUAGGUAUACACUGAGAGGGCCAGACCCUGGGUUGGGUGCAGGGAAGGUUGAGAGUGAUAAGGUGCAAUCUCUGCCUUAUAACCUUGUAGUUAAGAACAUGAGCUGGGAGUUCAAAUCCCAGACCUACCCUCUCGUAGCUGGGUGCCCUUGGGCACGUCGACCCAACUCUGUGUUUUAGUUUCUGUGUCUGUAAAAUAGGGAUAAUAGUAGCACCUAUCUUACAGGGCUGCUGUUAUUAAGUGACCAAAAUGUUAGGUCUUAGGAAUAGUAUUUACUAAGUGCUCAGUGAAUGUCAGCUGUCAUUAUUAGUAAUAAGUCUCCUCUUCAAUCAGGGAGACAAACAGGCCAAAUCUCAUAAUAUGAUACCAUCUGUAGUGAAUGAAGAGUUAUGGAACCAUGGAGUAGAGAACAAAACAUGCAAACUUUUUCUUGCUGCAUCAGGUUUCACAUGAAAGGGAUUUUGGGGAGUCGGGGUAGGAGGAGGUGGGAGGAACCCUCAGCAAAGGGAACAAUAUACAUCUUAUGCUGCAUAAUAAGCUACCUCAAACCUUAAUGCUGCUCCACAUUUUCUUCUGCUGCUCCACAAGGUGUUAACUGGAAUCCUUGAUGGCCCUUGUCUGAUCUGGAGGCUCCAAGAGCCUAAGAAGAAGUUAUGAGCCCUCUUCAAAGGCUAGACCAAGAAUUGGCAUAAUGUCACUUUCACCAUACUCUAUUUGUCAAAACAGUCACAGGCCAGCCCAGAUUCAGGGGAGGUGAAAUAGAUCUCACCUCUCAAUGAGCGAAGUGUCAAAGUAGCAUCUUUAAUCUGCACCACCAGGUUAAAAAUCCUGCUCCCUAAAGUGGCAUAUUUUCCUAGAGGGCUCCCUGGUCCCUCAUGCAAAUGGACUUCUGGCAGGCUACCCCAUCCAUCUGCCAAACAAGCCACACAUGUCAAAAUAUUAGCACGAACAUGACUUAAAUGCCUUCGUUGCAACUCCCUUAUAUUCCCAGGACUGUGCAAAGAUCAAAUGUGAUAAUACAUGUCAAGUCCCCAGUACAGUAACACAUGGUCAGAUAACGUAAAUUCCAUUCCCAUUACCGUUCUGUUUUCACAAAUCAAUAGCAAAUAUGCUCAGAAUUUAAAGAAAGAAGCACUCAUUUUAUAUGGGGUAUUAGGAAAACUUCUGCAGGUCUUAACAAUAAUAGCUAAUAUUUGGUGUCUUCUUGAUGCCAGAUCCUGUGCUAAGUGCCUUACUGGCUAAUCUCAUUUAAUUGAAUCCAAGUCUAUGAAGUAAGUAUUCUUGUUUUCUCAUUUUUCAGAUGAGGAAACUGAGGCUCAGAGACAUUGAAUAACUUCUCCAAGGUUACACGGUAAUCAGUGAUAGAGAUGAACCCAAGCAUCAUAGUUACAGAGCCAUGCUUUUAACCAUCAUAGAAUACUAAUUAUCUAUUGCUGUGUCACAAAUUAUCCCCAUACUUAUCAGCUUAAAAAACAAUGAGCAUUUAUUAUCUCACACAGUAAAGACUUGAGGAGCUGUUUACCUUGGGUGCUGAAGGUCUCUCAUGAGGUUAAAGUCAAAAGUGUCAGCUAGGGCUGCAGUCAUCUGAAGGCUUAUUUCAAGUUGAAGGACCUAGUUCUCAGAUGGCUUGUGCACGUGAUUGACAAGUUGGUGCUGGCUGUUGGCUGGAGGCCCCAGUUCUUCACCAGGUGAACCUCUCCAGAAGGCUGCCUGAGGUCCUCACAGCAUGGCCACUGACUUUCUCUUGCGUGAAUGUUCAAAGAGAGAUCGAUCAACGUAGAAAUUAACAGUUUUUUAAAAAAUGACCUAGCCACAGAGUUUCCAUUGUGGCUCAGCAGGUUAAGAACCCAACAUAGUGUCCGUGAGGAUGCAGGUUCGAUCCCUGGCCUCACUCCAGCAUUGCCACAAAGUGUGGCGUAGAUUGCAGAGGUGGCUUGGAUCUGGCAUUGCUGUGACUGUAGUGUAGGCUGGCACCUGCAGCUCCAAUUUGACUCCAGCCAGGGACCUUCCAUUGUUGUGACUAUGGUCAUAAAAAAAAAAAAA
rnacentral:lncRNA from 1 species